rnacentral:lncRNA from 1 species
GCCGGCUCCUUGACGAGUACUUUCCGUCGACCGAACUCGUACGUACAAUACCACGUUGAUCGAUUCUUCCUGAGACAAGGUGCACGUACAAAGCUAGCUAGCAAGCAGCCUAGUAGCUGGAUGGAUUUUACUUGGUGUCACCUAGCUUCGAAUACUACUCGGUGUCAGCUAGCUUCGAAUACGAGCCAGAUCAAGUCGCAGACGGAACACUGAAAAAUACACGCACGCAAGACAACACUAAGACGCCGAGAUUGAUGGCUACGGGAGCGUGCCGCUCCCGAAUAUUUCUGUGUAUUGCUUUGAUAUGAGUAUUAUACGGGAAGCUAGUACAUAUAUAUAGUACCUAGACUACAUAGUACAAGCCGACUCGGUCAGGGAUUGAAUCCGUGCCGGACUCAAUUUUGGCUAAUCGUGAUUAGUUCCAAUAAUCACCCCCCUAAGCACGAUGUCCUCACUUCACAGCUUGGACGCCGAUCCUUUCCCGUAUCUCUGUGAACUUCUGUCGUCCCAAAGACUUGGUCAGGAUAUCUGCAAGCUGAUCCUCGGUGCAAACGUAGUUGACUUCAAUCUUGCCUUCUUCCACACACUGCCGUAUGUAGUGAUACCUUAUAUCUAUGUGCUUAGUCCUGUCAUGAUGCACUGGAUUCUUACACAGGGCAAUCGCAGACUUGUUGUCAACAUUGAACACCACCCUUUCUGGUUCUUUAUCUGUGAGGUCACCGAGUAGCCUUUCUAGCCACACACCUUGACCCGCUGCGGUUGCAGCUGCUAUAUACUCUGCUUCGCAGGACGAUAAUGCGACCACCUUCUGUUUUUGUGAUAGCCAAGUUACUAUGCUCCUGCCCAAGAAAUAUGCCAGACCCGAGGUACUUUUACGGUCAUCCACAUCUCCUGCCAGGUCGCUAUCACUGUAGCCAAGUAGCUCCACCAUCUCCUUCUUUUUCUCUCUCAAAUAGACACAACCAAAGUUUGUUGUCCCUUUGAUGUACCUGAGUAUAUGUUUGACAGCUGCCCAAUGUUCAGUCGUGGAUGAUUCCAUGAAGCGACUCACUAUGCCAACGGAAUAGGCCAAGUCCGGUCGUGUAUUCACAAGAUACCUUAGGCUUCCGACCACACUUCUAUAAUCCGUUGCAUCAACCGCAGGGGCUUCACUCCUUUUGCUAAGUUUAAGACGAGGCUCCAUUGGAGCAUAAGUUGGUUUGCAAUCCUCCAUGCUACAACUUUGAAGUAUCUUCUUUGCAUAUGCCUCUUGACAUAGUGUGAUCCCAUUCGGCUUUUGUUGUACCUCGAUCCUGAGGUAGUAUGUCAAGAGCCCUAGAUCACUCAUCUUGAAUAGCUCCUUCAUUUGUAGCUUGAAUCUUGCAAUCUCCUCUUCGUCUGCUCCAGUUAUCAAGAGAUCAUCAACAUAGAUGCCCACUAAGAGACGAUCCUUGCCUUUACCUCGCUUGUACAUAGCAUGUUCGAGUGGACUUUUCUCAAAACCAAGAGAAAUCAAUGUACGGUCAAGCUUGAUGUUCCAUGCCCGAGGAGCUUGAUGUAGCCCAUACAAUGCCUUGUGUAGCUUCAAAACCUUGUGUUCUUCUCCUUCUUUGAUGUACCCCGGUGGUUGCUUCACGUAUACUUCUUCUUCCAACUCCCCGUUCAAAAACGUGGAUUUUACAUCCAUGUGAUGUAGCCUCCAAGAUUCUUGAGCCGCGAGAGCUAUAACUAGCCUCACCGAUUCCAUCCUUGUGACUGGAGCGAACACUUCCUCGAAGUCCACACCUUGCUCUUGCACGAAUCCUUUAGCUACGAGCCGAGCUUUAUGCUUGACCAAGUUUCCUUCGGCAUCCUUCUUGACUUUGUACACCCACUUGAGCCCUAUGGAUUUUUGACCGUUGGGAAGAUCAGCGAGCUCCCAUACUUUGUUGUCUCGUAUUGAUCCCAACUCUUCAUCCAUAGCACGACGCCAACACUCCUCGGUAUUUGCUUCUUCAAAUUUCGUCGGUUCCUCGACGCUAAGCAAACAUUGUCGUCCUCUUAUAACUUUGACAGGAUUAAUAGUACGAAGUGCUUCCUCCGGAUAUAAAUCCACCACUGGUCGAAGACGAAUUGGUGUCGGUGGACGUUCCCUUGUCUCCUGUUCUGUCGAAGACGAGGAAUUUUCAUCUUGUGGAGUUGCCAAACUCCUGUUUUUUGGCGAUCCAGGUUCUCCAGAAUUAGUUGCACGUACAUGUGAACCUUCAAGUCCACGUGCAUGCCUUCCUGUCUCACAACUAGCUUGAGUAGGAGCCAGAUUCUGGCCACGUCCAGGCUGUGGACUUCCAGGCGCAGCUCCCAGGCUGCUCCCCUGUGGUACGUAGUCACUUGGUCGAGCGCUUCGAGCAUUGCUUGGUGUGCUGCACGAGCCAUCGCACGCCUCGUCUGCUGCGUCCUGCUGCGUGCCUUGGCGCGCCUCCGUCGCUGCUUUAUCUGGCGCGUUCAGUUGCGCUGCGUUGUUUGGAGAAUCACUCGGCGUCGUUGUAGUCUCCGGUUGAUUAUCGACAUGCUCGUAUUCGUUGUAAAUAACGUGAAAGAUUUCAUCAGAGAUCGGGUAUACCGGCUCGGUAGAGUUCCAAUUCCAUGACCUUGCUUCUUCAAAGACCACGUCACGCGUCACAACCACCUUAUUGGUAGAGGGGUUGCACGCACGGUACGCCUUCGAGCCUGCUUCAUAGCCAACCAAUAUCAUUGGAGUACUCCGAUCCGCCAACUUACUUGUAUGCCCGGCCACCGUCUUCACAUGCGCCACACACCCGAAAGUACGAAGAUGAUCAACCGCGGGCUUAUGUCCGUACCAUGCUUCGUACGGCGUCAUCCCAACCACACUCUUGGUUGGAGCCCGGUUCAGCAAAUAAACGGCCGUAUUGACCGCCUCACCCCAAAACUUGCCCGGGAUCCCUUUGCUCUUCAUCAUGCUUCGUGCCAUCGCCACCAUGGUUUGAUUCCUCCGUUCCACAACACUGUUUUGCUGCGGUGAAUAUGGCGCCGUAAGAUACCGCUUGAUCCCAUGUGCUUCGCAAAAUUCUGUGAAUUCACGAGACUUGAACUCACCCCCCCGAUCGGUACGGAGGGCCUUCAGCUUGGCUUCGGAUUCUACCUCGGCCGCCAUCUUUACUUUCCUGAAGGCUUGCAAAGCUUGGUCCUUCGUCUUCAACAACACAAUCCACAUGUAUCUGCUGAAGUCGUCGAUGAUGAGUAAGAAGUAUUUGUUCCCAGCCGGGGUAGCCGGUGUAAUGGGUCCGCACAAGUCUCCAUGGACCAACUCAAGAGCUUUACUUGCUCUAAAGUUUCCCUCUCUCGGGAACAAGGCCUGCCUUUGUUUCCCAACAAGGCAACCGUCCCACACUUGCUCAACAUGAUCAAUGCACGGUAGGCCACGUACCAUCUCCCUUUGUCCAAGUUGCCGAAGAGCCUGGAAAUUUAGAUGACCGUAGCGCGCGUGCCACUUCCAUGCCGAGUCCUCCAUGCUUGACAAGAGACAUACUGGAUCCACACGAUCCAAGUUGAGGACGUAGAGUCUGUUUGGCGACCUCUGCACCUUCAUGAUCAGCAUCCUCUGACGGUCAUACCCCCAUAGAUAGCCAUCUUCGAGCACAAUCUUGCAACCACGCUCCUCGAGCUGGCCAAGACUUAUGAUGUUGCUCUUUAGCUUGGGAAUAUAGUACACAUCUGUGAGUACCUUGUGACCGCCAUUCUUCAGCUCAAACAGGACAGUACCUCGCCCUGUGAUGUCAACGGUCCGCCCGUCACCGAACCGAACCGUGCCUCCAACCGAGAGAUUUAGCUCAGAAAACUGGUCCUUGUCACCGGUCAUGUGGUUGCUUGCUCCCGUGUCGAGGUACCACACGUGCCUCGCCGUGUUCACCCUCUUCUUGUCAUGAAGGUAAACCUUCUCUUCGUCGAGCGUGACAACCUCGGUAGCCGGUGCCUUCGGAGCUGGACCAUCCUCGUCCAUAAGCUCGCAUACUUCGACCAUGAGCAUCACAUCGCUAUCAUCGCCUCCCUUGGCCAUGAGUGAUUUUUCCUUCGGUGGACUCUUGCAAUCAGACUUGAAGUGACCGAGGAUUCCACAAUUGUGACACCUUACUUUUUUUAUGUCAAAUUUUCUCCUUGGUUUUCUAGCCUUUUCUUCCUGUCCAGCGAGGUCCUUUUUCGCCGGGCUUUGCUUCUCCUUUGCUUUACUACCGCUUGUGGAUCCACCUUGUUUUCCUUUCGACAGGGCCAUCCAUUGCGCCAUUGUAACCAUGAGAUGCUCACUCUCCUUCGAAUCGCCGAAGCUGAGACGAAUUCUCUCGUCGUGGGCCUUGAACCUUCCGACGAGAUCCUCGACCGUGAGAGUGUUCAGGUCAAGACAUUGCUCGAUCGACGUGACGAUUUGGAUGUAGCGCGCCGGCGCGGCGCGCAAAAAUCGUCGGACGAUCGCAACUUCUUCUAGGGUUGAACCAUAGCCGCGUAUGCCGUUGACGAGGGUCUUGAGACGGGCGGCAAACUGAUCAACCGUCUCGCUUUCCUCCAUCUUCAGGCACUCGUAGCUUCUCAUCAGAGACUGAAGGUGUGCGUCCUUGACACGGUCAUGACCCUGGUGCAGGAUCUUGAUGGUCUCCCAUGCCUCCUUCGCCGUUUUCUUUCCGACGAGGUGUUGUAGCACAUCCUUCGGCAUGGCGGAGUAGAUCGCCGUUAACGCCCGACGAUCCGUCCGGUACUUUGCCGCGCCUUUCGCGUACUCGGCGCCGCUGGGAUCGACGGCUUUCCAGAACUCCGCUCCCUCCAUCGCGACCUCCAUGUUCAUCGCCCAUAGUGCGUAGUCCUCUCGAUCCAGUCGGGGGAAUUGCGACCCCCCAACCAUCGGCAUCUGUGCUUUAGCUCCCGCCACAACGAUCUCCUUGCCCGGGUUUGACAUGAUCCUUCGAUUGCUUUCCGAAGAUCACGCCAAUAAACCAAGCUCUAGAUACCAAUUGUUGACACAUGCCCGAUCAAGCGUUGUACGCCGGCUCCUUGACGAGUAUUUUCCGUCGACCGAACUCGUACGUACAAUACCACGUUGAUCGAUUCUUCCUGAGACAAGGUGCACGUACAAAGCUAGCUAGCAAGCAGCCUAGUUGCUGGAUGGAUUUUACUUGGUGUCAGCUAGCUUCGAAUACUACUCGGUGUCAGCUAGCUUCGAAUACGAGCCAGAUCAAGUCGCCGGCGGAACACUGAAAAAUACACGCACGCAAGACAACACUAAGACGUCGAGAUUGAUGGCUACGGGAGCGUGUCGCUCCCGAAUAUUUCUGUGUAUUGCUUUGAUCUGAGUAUUACAGGGGGAGCUAGUACAUAUAUAUAUAUAGUACCUAGACUACAUAGUACAAGCCGACUCGGCCAGGGAUUGAAUCCCCGGACUCAAUUUUAACUAAUCGUGAUUAGUUCCAAUAGUGCUGUGACAUCCUCUGUAGGGAGGGAAUAUUUUGAUAGUCUCCACAGGAACAUACGGACUUUAGAUGGCACCUCCGUUUUCCACAAAGCUCUCCAAGUUCCUUCUUCUCUGUUCGUAUGCGAGGACCCCUCCGAACCUUCCAGCCAUGCCUCUCUUCUUUGCGUCGUCGCCACCAACAUGUUAUAUGCUGAUUUGACUGAACACUGACCACUCCUCUCAUGCGCCCAUGCGCAAAAAUCCUGCAUAUUCAUGGUACACAGUGGGAUGCUAGCAAUUAACUUGGCGUCAAAAUGGAUGAAAGUGGUCCUCAGAAGAUGGUAAUUCCAUGUAGCCGUAGUGGGAUCUAUUAGCUCCGAAACAGUAGUUAGUGGGUUAGCUGAAAUGCAUCCAUACGGCCUCAUGAUCUCCCCACGAGGGACCCAAUUAUCCUCCCAUAUAUUUAUGCUUUCACCGUUGCCAAUACGCUUUAUUAAGCCAUAUCUCAGUGUGUCACGGCCUUCUAAUAUGGCCCUCCACUGGGGAUUUCGUCGCCCAUCUUUGCUUUCCCUUCAAAAUUUCCUUAUCAACAUGUUCAGGUUCUCAUAUAAAGACCUCUAGGCAAACACGACAUAGAAAAUACUGGGCCGGCCUGGGCAACAGAUUUCACCAACACUUCCUUCCCUGCUGAUGACAUGGUUCUCUCAAUCCAUCCCUAUAUCUUGCUCCACAAAGGGUCCUUUAGAUAUUUAUAAAGGCUCCAUUUUUUGAACUCCCAAUAUCGGAUGUGUGACGCCCCCAACUUAAUAGUACGCUAAUCAUACAUGCAAAUACGUACGACCAAGGUUAGAGACUCGCGAGAAGAUAUCACAACAUAACUCUAGACACAUAUUAAAGUCAUACAGACAUCAUAUUACAAGUCAGGGCCUCGAGGGCUUGAAUAUAUAAGCUCGAAUACACACGAGUCAGUGGAAGCAAAUAAUAUCUGAGUAGAUACAUAUAAACAAAUUUUGCCUUAAGAAGGCUAGCACCAACAUAACAUAGAUCGAAAGAGGCGAGGCCUCCUGCUUGGGAACCUCCUAACUACUCCUGGUCUCAGCGGCCUCCACGUAGUAGUAGGAUCCGUCGGAGUAGUAGUCAUCGAUGGGAUCAGCCAUCUCUUGGGCUCCGUAAUCUGGUCGCGGCAAUCGUAUCAAGAGGAAGGGGGGCAAAGCAACACUGGGUACCCAUUCAAAGUACUCACAAGGCUGGCAUCAAAACUAUGCCAAAUAUGCAUCAAUAUCAAAAGAAUGGGGGCUAUAUCUUUGGACUGACUGCAACAAUGUGAGAAUGGAGAGAAAUGGCUAGUCCUAUCAAAGACUAGCAACUUUAGUGUCUGUCAGGAAAAUGAGAAACUCUGGAGUUAUUGCAUUGAUGUGUACAAACAUCUAAAAAUCUAGCAGAUCCUUUCACGAAGGGUCAAUCAUGUAAUAUGAUAGAUAAUGCAUGGAAGGAGAUGGGUACGAGACCCAGAAUAUGAAUUGCUCACAGUGAUAACCUAUUCUAUGUGAUCGGAGAUCCCGUGAACUAGAUGCGGAAGACAAACCGUUGGUCAACUCAGAGAAAAGUAUCCUUACCAUUGAUAAUACCACUCCAUGAAGAUACAAUACUUUCCUAUAUGGCAGGUUGAUAUAUAUCUUAAUGUGUCUAAAUGGCUUAUUAAAGCAGAGAUGUUGUCCUGCAGAACAUCUUUUGAAGAACACACCUAUAUGAAUUUGAUUGUUAACGUUGCAAUCUAUGAGAGUAGGGUGUUCUCUAGUAAACUCAUGAAAGGCCUCAGAGUAUGACGCAUAAGAUCCACCCGCGGGGAAGUCCCCGGUAGCCUAGUAUCGAUCAAGGCUCUUUGUGAAGCUAGAAAAGUAGCAGUUCAAGGCAUAGUCCACUGUUCAAGUUUCUUACUAGUGUGCCAUAAAGUUCUAGGUGGAAGUUCAACUUAACAGUCUCCAGUGCAGUAGCGAUAUAUAAACAAUGUUUUGGAACCUAAGGCAAAUUUUUUGUACCUCUCGGAUCUGGUGGGGGAUUGCUGGAAUCUAACCGCUAUGGGCCAGCCCAAGAACCAUUUUUAGAAUUCCUAAUAAAUCCUAGAGGCCCACUUAGCCCAUUCGUGCAAGGCAAGAGGUGGAACUGAAGCUUAGUCCCACAUUGCUAGUUUGGAAGGAGUAGGACCUCCUUAUAAGGGAGGAUAUUUCCCCACAUAUAUGAGCAUGAGAACGAGACAUACACACGCGCUCCACCUCCUCCGCCGCCCGCCUCACCUCGUCAUGAUGCGCCACAGGUUGUGGGAAUGAGCCAAGCCGAUGCCUAAAAUUUUGCCACACACGACUAGUGUACGAAAGGUCGCUUGGGAGCUGAAAAGUUUUGCGGUAGUGGAGAUUAAAUACGAACGCUGCACCUUUCGGUUGCUGCCUCUUCGUUUUUGUCUCUCUCUUUUGCUUCGCCUCAUGUCGCUGUCUGUUCGCCUCCUUCUCCUGUGUCUAUAAAAGAGAUGUCGCUCC